GCCCAAAAAAAAGUACUCCUGUUUGAUUCGUAAUAACAUCUAAACAAGUAUAGCUUUUAAAGAGAAAUAACCUGCAUCAAAUAGAGGAAGGACUAACUUAGACUUUGAUAUAUUACAGUUGUAUUUCACUUAAAAAUUCACGGAGAUAUUAAUCUUUAAAUUCGGGAGGAUAUUUCUGGAUGUGUCUGAAAUAUGCAAAAAUCGGCGUAUCAAAUAUUAAUCAAGAU